rnacentral:ncRNA from 2 species
GAAAUCUUGUCGGAGUGCCCGCAAGGGCUGAGACCGUUAAUUCGGGAUCCGCGGAACCUGAUCAGGUUAGAACCUGCGAAGGGAACAAGAGUAAACAUCAU